UAGGGAAUCUUCGGCAAUGGACGAAAGUCUGACCGAGCAACGCCGCGUGAGUGAAGAAGGUUUUCGGAUCGUAAAACUCUGUUGUUAGAGAAGAACAAGGACGUUAGUAACUGAACGUCCCCUGACGGUAUCUAACCAGAAAGCCACGGCUAACUACGUGCCAGCAGCCGCGGUAAUACGUAGGUGGCAAGCGUUGUCCGGAUUUAUUGGGCGUAAAGCGAGCGCAGGCGGUUUCUUAAGUCUGAUGUGAAAGCCCCCGGCUCAACCGGGGAGGGUCAUUGGAAACUGGGAGACUUGAGUGCAGAAGAGGAGAGUGGAAUUCCACGUGUAGCGGUGAAAUGCGUAGAUAUAUGGAGGAACACCAGUGGCGAAGGCGACUCUCUGGUCUGUAACUGACGCUGAGGCUCGAAAGCGUGGGGAGCAAACAGG
rnacentral:rRNA from 1 species